rnacentral:rRNA from 1 species
KSCCUUAGAGUUUGAUCCUGGYUCMKAACGAACGCUGGCGGCGUGCUUAACACAUGCAAGUCGAACGUGAUCCSGAGCUUGCUCCGGUGAAAGUGGCGCACGGGUGAGUAACGCGUGGAUAAUCUGCCCUGGUAUCUGGGAUAACAUCKCGAAAGGGGUGCUAAUACCGGAUAAGCCUACRGACUCUUCGGAGUCUGCAGGAAAAGGUGGCYUCUAUUUAUAAGCUACCGUAUCAGGAUGAGUCCSCGUACCRUUAGYUAGUUGGUGGGGUAAUGGCCCACCAAGGCWACSAUGGUUAGCUGGUCUGAGAGGAUGAUCAGCCACACUGGAACUGAGACACGGUCCAGACUCCUACGGGAGGCAGCAGUGGGGAAUUUUGCGCAAUGGGGGAAACCCUGACGCAGCAACGCCGCGUGAGUGAUGAAGGCUUUCGGGUCGUAAAGCUCUGUCAGAGGGGAAGAAAUGAGACUGGCUAAUAUCCAGUUUUCUUGACGGUACCCUCAAAGGAAGCACCRGCUAACUCCGUGCCAGCAGCCGCGGUAAUAC